rnacentral:ncRNA from 1 species
GGACUUUGGAGAAGCUGCGCACGUUCGUUGCCGCAGUGCCGAAGGUGAAAGCGGAAGACGCGAAUCUCUCAGGCAAAAGGACAAAGUU